AUUGGAGGGCAGUCUGGUGCCAGCAGCCGCGGUAAUUCCAGCUCCAAUAGCGUAUAUUAAACUUGUUGCAGUUAAAAAGCUCGUAGUUGAAUUUCUGCGUUGCCCGACUCGGCUACUUGCCUUGUCUGGUUUCGCUUUUGGGGUUUUCCCCUUUUUACUUUGAGAAAAUUAGAGUGUUUCAAGCAGACUUGUGUCUUGAAUACUUCAGCAUGGAAUAAUAAAGUAGGACUUUGGUUCUAUUUUGUUGGUUUGUGAACCUUAGUAAUGGUUAAUAGGAACGGUUGGGGGCAUUCGUAUUUAACUGUCAGAGGUGAAAUUCUUAGAUUUGUUAAAGACGAACUACUGCGAAAGCAUUUGCCAAGGACGUUUUCAUUAAUCAAGAACGAAAGUUAGGGGAUCGAAGACGAUCAGAUACCGUCGUAGUCCUA
rnacentral:rRNA from 1 species